rnacentral:rRNA from 1 species
AGAACGAACGCUGGCGGCAUGCCUAAUACAUGCAAGUCGAACGAACUCUUCGGAGUUAGUGGCGCACGGGUGCGUAACGCGUGGGAAUCUGCCCCUUGGUUCGGAAUAACAGUUGGAAACGACUGCUAAUACCGGAUGAUGACGAAAGUCCAAAGAUUUAUCGCCAAGGGAUGAGCCCGCGUAGGAUUAGCUAGUUGGUGAGGUAAAGGCUCACCAAGGCAACGAUCCUUAGCUGGUCUGAGAGGAUGAUCAGCCACACUGGGACUGAGACACGGCCCAGACUCCUACGGGAGGCAGCAGUAGGGAAUAUGGACAAUGGGCGAAAGCCUGAUCCAGCAAUGCCGCGUGAGUGAUGAAGCCUUAGGUUGUAAAGCUCUUUUACCCGAGAUGAUAAUGACAGUAUCGGAAGAAUAAGCCCCGGCUAACUCCGUGCCAGCAGCCGC